rnacentral:sRNA from 1 species
GUUUCUUUAUUUUGCUGGGAUCAUCUGGCAACUUGUGGGCAUUGUAGUUUGUAGAUUGUUUUGUUCGUGAAAAAAAGGAGUGAUUGAGGCCAGGAUAAGAGGAUGUUGAUUCGCAGCCGUUGAUCCUGUUUCUAGUUUGUAGAUGGAUGGUUGUGGUUGUGAUGGUGGUCUUAGAAGUAUGAUUGUUUUUCGCAGUGAGCUGGUUGCAGGGCCGGUAGCUUAAGCUGAUUUUCUCCAUACGUGAUAUAUGUUGCUGAUGAUGCUCUGCAUGUGAUUUGGACGGACAUGUCGUUCCUUAUGAACCUGAAUGGGUUUGUAGUUGCUGUGAUGGUAGAAAUUGAACUGGUGUUUCCCUGUAGCCUGAUGAUGCACAUGAGUUGGACCUGUGAUUUAGUUACCGUGCUGCGGAUGCCCAGUAUGAUACUCUCUCUGAAACCUUGUAUGUUGGGCUCCACUUUGCAGUCACAGUAAUGAGACACGAAUCUUGUGUGGGUUCGUGAACAACUGAAGUUGUAGCGAAUAACCACCUGCUGCGGUGUUGCUGCCAUUUCAUGAUGGGAUCCGGUAGGCUAUGACCAGUUGGGGCCCUGAGAAUGGCUGCUUGGCUAUCUACACUCUUUAUAAAUGAUAUUAUCUACACUACGGAAGAGGGUGACGGGAACUUCACAACAGUAAUAAUGUAGUUCAAAUUCGCCAUUAACGAGAUUGGAGGAAUACCAAGAGACUGUAGAACGAAGUUGUGGAAGUUCACAUUAUUUCGUCAACGAGUUUCAUCCAUUUUAAGAGCACAGGAGAU